UUGUCGCAAAACCAUCGCCUUGUGACGCGAAAAAUUGCAUUAAAUCGAUGUUGUAGUAAUAUGUCAUAGAGACACUAUUUGCUUAGUAAAUGUUUUUAAAUAAAACUUUGAAAGUAUCGAUUUAUAGGUAUUAUAUCUUCCCCUUCCUUUUCGUGACGCGAAAAAAUUGCUUGAAUUCGAUAUUGUAGUUAUAAGUGAUAGAAACACUAUGUGCUUACUAAAUGUUUUUUCAAGGUAUAUAUUUAUAAGACUCAGUAUUUUUAAUAUAAUAAAAGCUAUUUGCUACAUAAUACGUCGAUGUAGGUUCCGUAAUUGGUUAAGGUAGUAUUUCUAAUCUGGGAUUAGUAUAUAAUUACUGUGGCAAAACCAUCGCCUUUAAAUUUAAAUCGAUGUUGUAGUGAUCAUUAUGUGCUUACUAAAUGUUUUUGAAUAAAACUUUGAAAGUAUCGAUUUAUAGGUAUAAUAUUUUCCUCUAAUAUAAAUUCAUUUAAAUUUAUUAUUACAUGAUUCAUUAUGAUUUU